rnacentral:lncRNA from 1 species
CGGUACAGAGUCAAUGUGGAGGCUAUAUACAGGGUGUAAUGGUACAGAGUCAAUGUGGAGGCUAUAUACAGGGUGUUACGGUACAGAGUCAAUAUGGAGGCUAUAUACAGGGGGUACCGGUACAGAGUCAAUAUGGAGGCUAUAUACAGGGGGUUACCGGUACAGAGUAAAUGUGGAGGCUAUAUACAGGGGGUACCGGUACAGAGUCAAUAUGGAGGCUAUAUACAGGGGGUACCGGUACAGAGUCAAUGUGGAGGCUAUAUACAGGGGGUACCGGUACAGAGUCAAUGUGGAGGUUAUAUACAGGGGGUACCGGUACAGAGUC